rnacentral:lncRNA from 1 species
CCAUUCAUGAUGUCCAAAUUUAAAAACGAAAAAGCAUAAAAUUAUCGGAAAGAAAACAAAGAAAAAGCUAAGACAGAAUUGCAGGAAUCAGUAAUGAAAGACAUAAACAUUAUACUCCACAACAACAUCUCCUGUUUUGGGAUUGAAGGUGUGAGUCCUCGCCUGAGCAUACCCACGAGCAAAUCGGAAAAGCCCACUGCCGCCGACGAUCGACAUCUCCCGCACCUUUGAAAAGAUAGUGUUUCGACCCAAAACACUGAGAGUACUGCCGUUGUACUUGCCCUCCAUGAAAGCAAAAUUCAGCACCAUCAAGAAGCCCAUUUCCUCCUGCGACGCCGAUGCGUAUAUUCCUUGGGCUCUUCCUACCAGCUUGGAGCUGGGCUCGGGUCCCACAGUCAAGGGAUCGUCCAUCAUAAGCACCGCGCCGAACACUGUCGCCGACUUGUUGGUCAUGGCGGCCUCAGCGACUCUCACGGCGGUGGGUUUCGGGCCGCUGAUUAUGUCGUGGAAGUAGAAGUGGAGGUGGCUGAGCUUCUCUUCCUUGAGGCCUAUCGAUUCCGGAGAAAGGUUCCUGGAGAAACGGUGGGAUUCCCCGCUGGAGCCGGAGGCCGCGACGGCGGCAAUGGUGGAGAAGAAAAUAGUGAAAAGGAUGAGGAGUUUUGCCAUCGUGGAGAAGAAACAAAGAUGGAAAAAGUUUUUGUGUCUACCUGCGCAACCAUACCUUCUUAUAAGUGUAUGGAUGAAGACAAAUAAAAAAAUAAAAAAUAAAAAAUAUUUAGCACCAAGCCUAAUAGUGUCACCGACACUUACGGGUGGUCGAGUUCUCGAGGCUUAGGAUGUCGUGGAGUCACUAAGCAUCCAAUGCUUGAGGCCCAAAAACAUAUAAAUUUUAACACAUAUAAUAAAUAAUAAAUCAAGAUUAUAAAAAAUAAAAUUAUUUGGCUUAGUUAGAUAUUUGAAAACAUGCUAUCCUAAAAUCACUACCAUUUCCCUGCAUGUAAUUUUAAGAUACAACUUCAAUAGACUCAUAAUAAUAUUUCCUCAACAAGCAUAUUAGACACGAAAACUAAGAAGAAUCCAUUGAAAAUUAAGUUACCCAAAAAAAAAAUGAACAUUUAAGAUGAAAAAACACGAUUGUAUAAAAAGUUAGGAAUAGUGGAAAAAACCAUAAUGAUAUAUGAAAACAUAUUUUUGUAUUAGAUUUAUCUUAUCUUUAAAAUGAAUUGAAUUACUCUUUAUAUAACAAUAUUUGUUGACUUCCUAAUUCAAUUUUGAUGGUGAUCAGUGUGGCCAUUGCAACUUUUUAACUAAAGUCCAAGUUAUAAAUCACGAGUCUUGUCAAUUGGAACAUUCUCGAAAAUCUCAAUUAUUAGAUGUGGAUUUUCAGAAGUACCUAUUUGCGUAUGGUACCUUGAUGCUAUGCUUCUCUUUAAAGGGUACUAAGUGGACAAGGACCUAUUUUUUGUACCAUCGAUAUAUAAAUAUUUUAUAAUAAUUUUAAAGAUAAAGGAAAAUCCUUUUUGUUAAUAAAAGAUGAUCAUUGUGUCCAUAAAGUGUCAUCAUAUUAAGACUCACAAAUCCUCAACAUUUGGAGAAAUUUAAAGUUGUUGAAUUACUUAUUAUAUAUAAAAUUUAAUUUCCAACAAAGGGGUUUAUGGAAACAUAGUGGGAUUCCAUACCGCCACCCGUGGAUAAAAAGAAUAUUGUGAAGGAAGAUGAGGGUUUUACGCAUAAUGGAUAAAAAGUAGAGUAGAAAAGCAAAAAUCUAUCGGUUGGAGUGGGCUUGUUAUCAAAGUAUGGUUUUAAAUAAAAUGUAUUGAAUACAACUUUCAAAAGGUGUUUGACUUUAUUAUUAGCAAGUUUGAAGGGAUUGAAUUGCACAAUUUCAUGCUUAACGAUGAAAUCAUACUCUUCAAAUUUUGUCUAAUAAUGUUCAAGUAAUUUUCAUGAAAAUAUAAUCUAAUUAUAAACAAAUAAAAGUGGGACAAUUAAUUUUUCACCUUUUUUUCGAACAUGUCUAAAAGUCAUUCUAAAAACUAUGUGCAUAUAAAUUGUAAAGCUAUUAUAAAAAAAGUAUAAUUUUAUUUUACAUAUUUAAAACUUAUUUUCAAAUUUAAAGUAAUAAUUGUUUUUUAUAUUCCAAAUUUUUAAACAGGUUUUAAAAAUAAUAUUUUAUUACUAUUUUCUAAUUUUAAAAACAAAAAUCAGCAAAUAUAUCCAAACCAAAAUUAAUUUUUUUCUUAAAUUUCUCAUAAAUAACUAUGAAAGACAGGGAUUCAGUUUUUGGCCAUGGUGGAAAAUUAACAAAGAGAAUGUUAAAAAAAAAAAAAAAAACAAAGGGACAAGAAAAAAGACCUAAAGAAAUAUUCACAGACUGGUUAAUAUUUAUACCUUGUUUAUAAGCCCAAAAUUAGUUUUUCUUUGACUGAUUUUUACAAUUUUACCUCUAAAAGCACGCCCCAAAAGGUGACGCUCACGUUUCUUUUCUAUUUUUUCUUUUCUUUUUCUUUUCCUUUUUCUUUUUUUGUCUUUUCCUUUCCUUCCAACGGCGAAAACAUUAUCUGUUAUGGACCGUUGGAUCAAAUAUGAAAGAAUAGAUGAUGCCACGUGGAAAAAACAAAGGAAAGCAAAAUCUAACGACGAAACAUUGACUGCUCAGAGAAAUUGAGGUCAUAAAAAAAUAUUAUUGAUUUAAUAAUUUAAUUUAAGUUAUUAAAUAAAUUAAAUAUAUGUGAACAAAUAAUUUAAUGAUAUAAAUUAAAAUAAAAAAUAAAGUUAAAUAAUAAAUAAAAAUAAUUAACUUAUUCUUAAAAUUAUAUUUUUAUUUUACCUUUUUACUCUCAUUUAUCCUAAUUAUUUUUAAGAUCUCUUUUGUCUUUACUUAACCUCAUUUACCCUAAUUAUAAUUUACAAUGAUAAAUAUGUCAAUUUGAUAAUUUUAAGUUAAUUUUAUCAAACAAUCUUAAUACUUAUAAAUAAAUUUAAGUAUAAUUUAACUUAAGUUAUUAAGUAAUAAGUAUUAAGUUUAAUCAUAUACUCUUAAAUCUUACACUAAUUAAAGGAAACAAAAUAUAAAAAAAUCUCUAAGUUUGGAUUUAUUUUCUAUUUUUUUAUUAGAAACUUCCAUAUAAAACCAAAUAUAUUGUAUAAAAAGUAAAGAUUUAUUUUAUAUCUUUAAAAAUUAUUUUAGAAAUUCAAAAUUUGAGAUAGGAAUUUUUUUUAAUAUCUCAAAUUUUUAAAUAGUUUUUAAAAUUAAUAUUUUUAUUUCAACGUAAACAUUUAAGAGUUCUUGUAUAGUAUAUAAAAAUAAUUUUUCAAUUUUAAAAACAAAAGAGAACACUAUAAUUUUUAUUUUUAUUUUAAAAUAAAAAUAGUAAUAACCUUUAUUUUGCAAAAAGUUAACAAUUGGGAUAUUAAAAAAACUUUAUUAUCUCAAAUUUUUAAACUUAAAAUAAUAUUGUGGACCCCUUAUUUUGGUUCGAUACAUUCCCACUCUAUGGCGAAACUCGCUUUUUAUUUGUUUGGUGAAAAUUUGAUUUUUAGAAAAAUACUUUUUGAGUGACCAUUUAUUUUUGUUUUAUUUUUUAAGGGAAAAACAAAAUAAGAAAGAAAAACCCUAAGUAUAACUCCUGAAGAAAAAAAAAAAUAGGUCUGUGAAAAACCGAAUCUGGGUCCGAGGAUCAUGUUAUUUAUUGGAAAAGUACGGUGGUGAGUCGUAGCACCCCUCUAAGCCCCUAAAAAUGGGUUUUUACUAAAUAAAGUAAGACGAGUGUGACAAUUGAUAUGGAAAUCAAUGGAUACCCACAAUGACCAUAGGCAAAAAACAAGUCAUUAUAAUGAAUUAAUAAACAAAGUGAGAGUAAGAGCGUACUUUGCCUGUAGGUAAUAAAGCGCUAUCAUGGAAAUAAGGUUAGCUCAAAUAUAAAAUUAUUACAUACAUAUCAAAGAGUAAAACAAAGAUCAAGUAAUAUUCAUUAAGUAUAGUAGUUGACAAUCAAAAGAGAAAACUCAUAUGUGGGGCCCCCACCAAAGCUCAAUUUAUCUUGCAUGAAUUGGUCUCACAAAUUCUAUUAUUUUGGAAUUAUGAAAAAAUUACUUAUUUAAAAUCAAGAGAAACAGAAAAUUAUUUGAAAAUCGAAGAAAAUUUGUACAAGCACAUACCAAAAUGAGAAUGGCAGCAGACUUAUUAAAAUCAGGAUUUUUGGCAACCUAAAACCCUAAUAAAUGAUGACAAGUUGCAGAAUUGAAAAAAUAUUUCACAACUGGAGUGGAAUAAAACUAUUCGGAAGAAAAUUAGAGUUUUGAAUUUAACUUGAAAAUUGAAGUCUCGAAAAUUAUUUGAAAAUUGAAGUUUUGAAAAUUCAAUUUAAGAAUUGGAAUUUUGGAAAUUAAAUUUGAAGAUGAAAUUUUUUUAUAAAUAAAUAAAUAAAACAAUAAUAAUAACAAAAAUAAUAAUGACUAAAUAAAUAAAUGUAAAAAUUGGAAUUUUGGAAAUUGGAAAUCGAAUUUUUAAGAAUUAUUUAAAAAUGGAAUUUUAAAAAUAAAUAAAUAAAUAGAAUAAUAAUAAUAACGAAAAUAAAAAUGAUUAAAUAAAUAAAUGAGAAAUUUUGAAUUUUGGAAAUUGAUAAUUAAAUUUGGAAAUCAGAAUUUUGAAGAGUUAUUUAAAGAUGGAAUUUUAAAAAUGAAUAAAUAAAUAAAUAGAAUAAAAUAAUAAUAAUAAUAACGAAAAUAAUAAUGAUUAAAUAAAUAAAUGUGAAAAUUGGAAUUUUGGAAAUUGGGAAUUAAAUUUGGAAAUCGGAAUUUUGAAGAGUUAUUUAAAGAUGAAAUUUUAAAAAUAAAUAAAUAGAAUAAUAAUAAUAAUGAUUAAAUAAAUAAAUGUGAAAAUUGGAAUUUUGGAAAUUGGGAAUUAAAUUUGGAAAUCAAAAUUUUGAAAAAUUAUUUAAAGAUGAAAAUUUUUAAAAUUAAAUUUGAAAAUAAUUAAAGUUUGGAACUUUUGAAAAUUAAACUUUAAAAUGGGAGUUUUGAAAAAUUAUAUUAAAAUUGGAGCUUUGAAAAAUUAAAUUAAAACUGGAGUUUUGGAAAAUUAUCUUAAGAUUAAAAUUUUGAAAAUUAAAUUUUUGGCAUCAAAAGAUGAAAAAUAAGAAAAUAAUAAUAAAAAUAAGACAUAUGGCCUUAGCAUCAUUGGCCAAACGUGUACAUGCAUAAUCCAAGGAAUAAAAAAAUGGAAAAGGUGAAGCACCAACAGCACCAGUGCACCACAAACCUAUUUUCCAUAUAACAAUAAUGUCAUACCCACACCACAAACCCAUUUUCCAUGCAUAUAUUCGCCAUACCCAUCUAGGUUACAGUAAGCACCUUAAAAACCAGUUGCAACCAUAUCCCAUACCAUAACCGUCAUAUCCACCAACAAAACCCAAAGCUCAAAAUAUCAACUAUGAAGAUCAAAACCCAAUUCACGUUGAUUAUAGCAGUAAGAGAAUGGAGAAGUGGAAUGAAAACAACAAUUUGUGAGUCGUGGCAUGGGCAGGCAAACGAAGGCAUGGGUACGGGGGAGAUGAAGUGGAAUGAAAGCAGAGGGGCGAUGAACAGUGCCACGAACCGAUUGAUACCAAAAUGGGAGGAGGAGCUGGAGAAGCAGCUGCUUUUGAUGCAGCAGCAGCCACCGGAGCUUCCAUCGCUAUGGAAAGUGCUCUUAUGUAUAAUGAAAAUGAUUCGGUAAAGGUGGUAAUGGUGGACAAUGGACGGUGGUGAUAAGAGAUAGGAGUAUAGCAGUAUGGGUGUGACGACAUGGGUGUGAUGGGUAUGAAAUGAGUGGGGUAAAGUGGAAGAAAUGGUAGGUUUGCAAGGUGGCAGAAGGCAUGGGAAUUGGUUGUGAUGAAGGUGCAAUAGGGACCAUGCCGGUUUGGCCUAGAUGGUGAUCACUGCAUAACUUGAUUUUCAUGCGCGGGGCCCGGGUGAGUGGUAGACUGGGCGAAUCUUCUUUUUUGCUUCUCUCAUGGCGGUCAAGUCCCCUUUACCGUAAUCAAUUCCAGUUAAAAUGGAGAACCUUUGCUUUGAGGGUGUUUGAGGCGCACGUUGAAUGGCGUCGGAAUGGUGGCUGAGGCGCACCUUGAAUGGUGCCUCAAAUGGUGCCUUUUAAAUGCCUGAAAACGCCGCCGGAAUGACGUCAAAACCGCGUCCAUUUUGAACACCUGAACGGCGUCUUAACGACACCUGAAAUUGCCCAAGAUUUAAUUUUUUGUUGUUUCUGAUUUAAUAAAAGUUUUGGUGAAAAAUGGGAGGCUCUGAUACCAAUUGAUAAACAUUUUUUAUCUCUAUUAUCACUAACAAUACAAACAGAAAGUAUAUGUAUACCAAGCAUUCAAAUUAUGUCUUCCACUGUUGUCUAAGAACAUACCUGAGUCGAUUAUUUUUCGGCGAUGAAUACAGUAUAGAUCUUCUAAGGCUGUAGAGGACACCACCUUCUUUCUGAAUUCUCUCAGACGAUGGGAGCCGAAGAGAAACAGGUCUGUUCUAAUUCCAAAACUGAUGUGAUCUAUAUGAACAGACACACAGUCUAUUAUAUUUAUACCUUCCUGCCUUAGGGACCAUACCCUUUGGCUAUUGGGCCUCACGAGUCUUAGGCCCAUCAUCUAAGGCCUGUGAAGGCGUUGGGCUCUACACAUAAGGUGGCCCAUACUGUGGAAAACCGAUACAAAAUAAACAUUAAGACGAAUAGCUUAGUCAUGUACCAUUGUCAAAUAUGUGUGAGUCCAUAUCUUAACAAAUAUUUAAUUAUAUUGUAUUUUAAGUGAAUUUCAGAGUAAAAAUGUUUCACAUAAUUAAAGUCAAAUUAUAUUUUUUUUAAAAGCGAGUUUAUAGUAAAUUUAAUUAUGAAUACGAUAAUAUUUUUCUUGACGUGAAAAAUUAUAAGUUGUGUAUAAUUUAUAAUUAUGGAAUGAAAAUUAAAGAAUAAUGUUUUUAAUUUAUUGAGAAAGGAACACGCAUGACAUUUUGGGUUUUGUUUUAAUAAGCAUAUAUAUAUAUAUAAAAAGAAGUGGGUCGAUUGUAGGGAAGUUAAAAAAAAUGAGAGAAAUGGGAGAGAUGCGGUCGACUGAGAGUGGGAAAAGAAUCGCCUAUGAUAUACCAAAUGAAGUAUGUUUCAUGUAAAAUUUUAAAAGGAUAUUCUAUUCAACGCGAGCAACACUCUUACGAAGUCCAAUUUUCAUUUCAAUGGUUAGAUUUUCAAAUUUAAAAUAGGGAGACUUAACCCUACAACUUUUAUUUAAUGCAUUUUUCUUUAAAAACUUUAUAAAUAUCAUUGUUGGAAGUUAAAUAGGUAAUAUUUGUGAUAUGAGAAAUUUUAUUGGGUGAUUUAGGCAUUUUAUUUAGAAUUUUUGUGAUAAUGAGUAAUUUAAAUUGUUGAAAAUGAAUGUGUUUGGUUAUUAAAAAUUAUUGGGAUUAUUGAAAAUAAAUAAAAUUAUGGUAUGAAUUAUGUUUGAUUAAUAUUGGGAUUAUUGAGAAUUUAUUAAGAUGUUUUUGAUAAUUUAAUUAUAGAAAAUGAUUGUGUUUGGUUAUUAAAAAUUAUUGGGAUUAUUGAGAAUAAAUAAAAUGAUGGUAGAGAUUAUAUUUGAUUGAUAUUGGGAUUAUUGAGAAUUUAUUGGGAUGAUUUUAGUAAUUUAAUUGUGGGAAAUUGUUGUAUUGGUUAUUGAAAUUAUUGAUAUUAUUAGGAAUAAAUAAAAUGAUGAUAUGAAUUUGGGUUUUUGUUAAUAUUUGAAUUAUUAGAAAAUUUUACUUGAAUGUUGUGGUGGCUUGAUUGUGGAAAAUUGUUGUAUUGGGUGUUAAAAUUAUUGAAAUUAUUGGAGAUAAAUAAAUUAUGACAUAAAUUAUAUAUUUUUUAUAUUUGCAUUGGUGAGAAUUUUCUUGGGUAUGUGUGGUUAUGUAAUCGAAGAAAAAAUUGUUAUAUUAGUUGUUGGAAAUUAUUAAGCAUGUCGGAAUAAAUAGAAUUUAUGUGGCUAAGAUUUAAAACUAUGUUUUGAUGCUAUACAAAUUAAUUGUGAAUUUUCUUUAAUAUACAAGGUGAUUAGAGUGAAGAAAAAUCGUUGUGUGAAUUGUUGAAAAUUAUGAAACAUAAUGGAAGUAAAUAGAAUUAUGUCUUGAAAAAUAAUAAAUGUUAAAAUAUGAUUUGAUUGCAUUUCAUAUGCAUCAUAGUUGUGUGAAAUGGAAAUGAUAAUGAAAAAACCCCCAAAAGGGCAAAAAUGAAAAGAAAAGAAAAAUGAGAAAUGAAAUGACCCCAAAGAAAGCAAAUUAAGAAUAGAAUGAGAUCCUAGAGUGAAAGACUGAAAAGUUUACCAUAUGAAAACUCCAAAUGGGGAGUAUAUUUGGGUACGGGCAUCUAUCAUUCAGUGAAAGCCCGAGAACGACAUUGCAAUGUGUGAUUGCGUGUAAACAUUUGCAUCAUGAUUGCUUUUAGAAAAAUAAUUUGUAUUAUUUAUCAAGUAUAUGUUUGAAUAUAUUAUUCAAGACUAAAAUGACUUAUUUAUUUUGUAAAUUUAGAAUUAUUAAUAUUCUAAACAUAUGAUUGAAUAAGAUAAAUGAUAAUUUUGAUUGGUUUAAAUUUGUAUGGUUGGUGUUUCUUUUAGUGUGUAUAAUGUAAAUGUAAUAUUAUAUUUUGACAUAUGGUUGUAUUUUAUUAACCUAGAAAUUCUUACUCGUUUGGGUGUAAAACACUCUACCGAGCAAUAUGGAAAUGCUCACCCUUUUAUUUUCUAAAAUUCUUAGAUGCAUAUAUAGUUUUGAAGAAUUACAUAAAGAACAUGAAGUGUUCCAGAAAGCCCCAUAAAGUAAAAGAACCAUAGUAUUGCUUGUUUUUCAUUUAUAUUACAUUUUUGAAAUGUAUUAAUUUGAGUUAUAUGGACUUUUGUAACUUAAAUUACGUUUUGUUAAUUUGUAAAACAUUUUUUGAUAUAUCUUUUUUGACUUAGAGAUUAUUGUAACUAUUUGGGUUAUCACAUAAGGUGGAAAAAUGACAGGUGGAUUGAUUAUACUUGUGAACAAGAGAUAGUAUAAUAGUUGGUUUUGGAAAAAUAAAAUAAUAUGUUGCAUUAAAUUUUAGCUUAAUAAAUUUAUUUAGGAUUAGUUGUUUUAUCGAAAAAAAAAAUCAAGGUGUUUCGAUUAAUUGUUAGGCUGGAUAUGAGUAAUGACCAGGGGUCACAAGUCGAGUUCUAAGUUGCCCAAGAAUUUGGGGUGUGGGACCCACUGCUGCUGACGAUCGACAUCUCCCACACCUUUGAGAAGACGAUGUUUCGGCCCAAAACACUAAGGCUAUGUUUGGUUCCCGGAAAGUACAAAGGAAAGAAAAAAAAUGCUAAGGAAAAUGAUUUUCUCAUGUUUGGUUGUCCUAUAAAAAAUAUCAAAGAAAAUCAAAUAUAAUUAAAACUAAUUAAAAACUUAUGUAUUUUUAAAUUAUUUAAUCUUUAUAUUGAUGAGUUAAAAUAAAUAAAAUGAGUUUGAAGUAACAAAAAAAAUAAUUUAUCAACUUUUAAUCUAUUUUUUUAUUUUCCUUCACUUUUUCUUUCCUUCUACUUUUCCUUUGUAUUUUCUUUCCCUCGCAUUUUCCCUCAAAUUUUCCGGGAACCAAACAUAGCCUAAGAGUACUGUCGUUAUAUUGGCCCUCAAUGAAAACAAAAUUUAGCACCAUCAACAAGCCUACUUUCGUCUACGACGCCGAUGCGUAUAUUCCUUAGGCUUUUCCCACCAUCUUGGAGUUGGGUUCGGGUUCCUCGAUUAAGAGAUCGUCCAUCAUGAAUACCGUGCUGAACACUGUCGCCGACUUGUUGAUCAUGGCCACCUCAACAACUCUCAUGGCGGUGGGUUCCGGGCCACUGACAAUGUCGUGUAAGUAGAAGUGGAGGUGACUGAGCUUCUCUUCCUUGAGACCCAUCGAUUUGGGAGAAAAUUUUUUGGAGAAACGGUAGGAUUCCUGGCUGGAACCGCGGCGACAACAAUGGUGGAGAAGAAUUAAACAAAAGUGGAAAAAAUUUAUGCGUCCAUUUGCCGAACCAUACCUUCUUAUAAAUAAAUGAAUGAUGGCAAAAAAAAAAAUAUAUAUUUAGCUUCAUUAUUUAUUUGUGGGUUUAACACAUUUUAAACUCUCAGUUUAUCCAUGUUGUUUUGCACAUUGACCCUUUAGGUUUAAAAUCGAACUCUUUAUACCCCAGACUUCUUAAAUUAUAGUGUUCUACUUUUUCUCGUUGGACAAUGCAAACUUCUUAAGUUGCAAUACUCUACCUUUUUCAUUGGUAGGUGUUAAUUUAAGUGAACAAAAAUCCGAUGUUGUAUAUGUGACUGACUAAUGUAAGGUAAAUUUAUAAAUUCUCAAACCAAAAAAUUAAACAAAUUGCCUUCAUACCAAAUCUUCGUUUAUUCAAAAUAAUAUGUUUAUUUAUUUAUAAUUAAAAUAAUCGAAAUUGAAAAUAUUUAAAAUUACGACAUUAAUAAAUAUCAUUUGGGAGUAAUUUUCAAAAAUGGUUUCGUAUGUAGUCAUUUAUAUGGUUAAACAUAAGAGAAAUGGAUCUUAUAAUAAAAUUUCAUAAACUAUUAAAAAAAAUGUAUAAAGACAUUCGUUGACUUACUUGAUGAGCGGCGUGGAUUUCGGAAAUUCCAAAUUUGGGUUUUUGAUGAUUCCCUGCACUUUAUGGGGUGGUGGUCCUAACGCAUUAGAGGAUGGUGACGCUCACCUGUCUUUUCUUUUCCUUCCGAUGAGGAAAGCUGUAAAUGUUAGGGACGGUUGGAUCAAAUAUGAAGAGCAGAUGAUGCUACGUGGAAAGUACAAAGAAAAAGGGGGAAUCACCUAAUGAUAAUUAUUGGGAAGGUUGGUCCCAUUUGAUAACGAAUAUACUAAAAAUGUCAUUAGAUUAAAAAGCUUUUAAAAUUUAAAGCAUUCAAGGGACUUCACUUUUUGUUAGGACAUUUAUGGUGCAGGACCUCAUAUUAAUGGUAAUUAUUGACAUUAAAAUUUUAAAUCAAGAUUUUGAUAAUAGUAUAAUUUAUUAUUUAAAUUUACUAUUUAAAACAAAAAAUAUUUUGAUCGUUAAAUUUGUUAUUUUAAUCCUUACAACUUUAUUAACUUAAUAUACAAAUAUUCAAUUGAAUAACACAUAAUUAUUCAAUGAAAUAACACGUAACUAUUCAUUGGAUAAUAUGAUAUGUGAAAAAAUUAAACAAAAAAAUAAAUUAAAUUAUAUUAUAAUAUAUUGUAACAUUAGUGUAUUUAUGUUGUAAGUAUAAUGCAUUUAUGUCAUACUUAUAUUUUAUUACAAAAAUGAUAAUUUUUAAAAUGCUUAAUUUUAUCUUAUGGUAUUAACGUAUCAUUAUCAGUAUAUUAACAUCAUUCACCUAACAUAUUGAAAUUAUUUAAUAACUUUUAUGUAUAUAUAUAUAUAUAUAUAUAUAAUAAAAUAAAAAAAGCUAUGAGUCUCAUGAAUUCAAAAUAAUAUUUUAUUUGGUUUUAGAAGUGAUUCAUAAUAUAAAUGUGUUAUGAAAUAUGGUAUGAUCAUACAAAACUAUAACUUUUAUAAAAAAAAAGUUUAAAUUUUCCUAAUUAGGUUUUAUUGUAAUGAAAGUGUAUUUAUAUUAUAAUUAUAACAUAUUUUGAUCGUACAUGUAUUUUAUAAUAAAAGUAAUAAUGUUAGAGAUCACUUUUUAUACCUUAUUAAUAUUUAACAUAUAAUAUGUAUUAACAUCAUCCACUCUAUCUAUCAAGGAAAAUAUAUAUAUAUAUAUAUACAUAUAUAUGAAAAUUAAGAAAAAAUAUUAUGCAAAAGAAAAAAAAAUGGAAAUAUCAUAUAAAUUUUUUAAAAUUAUUUUCUUAUAAAAAAUAAAAAACAAUUAAACAUUCUCUAUUUUCUUAUUCUUUUUAGAUAAUCCAAAUGAAAAAUUAAGUAAUCGAUCUUCCUUGAAUUUAACACAAAAAUAUAAUUUAUUAAUUUUAAAUUAGAAAAAUACAUAUGAAAAAAUCAUUAUUUUUAUUAUAUGAUUGUGAAACUUUCUUAAUAAAAAAAUUAGAAUAAAAAUAAAAAAUGUAAAAAAAACACAUUAAAUGUUAUUUUAAAAUAUUUGUUAGAAAUAUUUUUGUUUUAAAUAGUAAAUUUAAAUAACAAAUUACAUCAUCAUCAUAUAUAAUAAUGGUAAUGGUUAAAUCUAAAAUUUAAACGUCAAUAAUUACAAUAAAUGUUGGACUCAUGUACCAUAGAUGUCCUAACAAAAAAUUAAGUCAUUUUAAAUAUUUUAAAUUUUAAAAAUUUUAGUUGGAAGGCAUUUUUGAUAUUUCAAAAUAUUAUUGUCCUUUCGAUUACACCCUUUCCAGUAAUUAUCCUAUUUAACCCACCUAUCCGUAAUUAUCCCAAAGAAAAUCGAGUCCUUGAAGGGCCAUCGACAUGCUAGGUACCAUCCUAUGAGCCUAUAAUUAAUCAUGAAUCUUAAGAAUUUUUUAUUUUUUAUUUUUAUAUUUUUUUUCCUUCCAAAUUUCGACAUGUUUAUUAAAUUAGCAGUAAAAUAUGUGGAAUAAGCAAAUAAUUUAAAAUUUUCCCAUUCAUGAUUCCAAAUUAAAAAACGAAAAAGCAAUAAUUAUCGGAAAGAAAACAAAGAAAAAGCUAAGACAGAAUUGCAGGAAUCAGUAAUGAAAGACAUAAACAUUAUACUCCACAACAACAUCUAGAUUGAAGGUGCGAGUCCUCGCCUGAGCAUACCCACGAGCAAAUCGGAAAAGCCCACUGCCGCCGACGAUCGGCAUCUCCCGCACCUUUGAAAAGAUAGUGUUUCGGCCCAAAACACUGAGAGUGCUGCCGUUGUACUUGCCCUCCAUGAAAGCAAA